AUUGAACGCUGGCGGCAGGCCUAACACAUGCAAGUCGAACGGUAGCACAGAGAGCUUGCUCUCGGGUGACGAGUGGCGGACGGGUGAGUAAUGUCUGUGAAACUCCCCGAUGGAGGGGGAUAACUACUGGAAACGGUAGCUAAUACCGCAUAAUGUCGCAAGACCAAAGAGGGGGACCUUCGGUCCUCUCGCCAUCGGAUGUGCCCAGAUGGGAUUAGCUUGUUGGUGAGGUAAUGGCUCACCAAGGCGACGAUCCCUAGCUGGUCUGAGAGGAUGACCAGCCACACUGGAACUGAGACACGGUCCAGACUCCUACGGGAGGCAGCAGUGGGGAAUAUUGCGCAGUGGGCGCAAGCCUGAUGCAGCCAUGCCGCGUGUGUGAAGAAGGCCUUCGGGUUGUAAAGCACUUUCAGCGGGGAGGAAGGCAAUGCGGUUAAUAACCGUGUUGAUUGACGUUACCCGCAGAAGAAGCACCGGCUAACUCCGUG
rnacentral:rRNA from 1 species